UACGUAGGGUGCAAGCGUUAAUCGGAAUUACUGGGCGUAAAGCGUCCGCAGGCGGUUUUGUAAGUCUGUCGUGAAAGCCCCGGGCUCAACCUGGGAAUUGCGAUGGAGACUGCAAGGCUUGAAUCUGGCAGAGGGGGGUAGAAUUCCACGUGUAGCAGUGAAAUGCGUAGAGAUGUGGAGGAACACCGAUGGCGAAGGCAGCCCCCUGGGUCAAGAUUGACGCUC
rnacentral:rRNA from 1 species